rnacentral:rRNA from 1 species
UACGUAGGGUGCGAGCGUUGUCCGGAAUUAUUGGGCGUAAAGGGCUCGUAGGCGGUUUGUCGCGUCGGGAGUGAAAACCAGGUGCUUAACACCUGGCUUGCUUUCGAUACGGGCAGACUAGAGGUAGGUAGGGGAGAAUGGAAUUCCCGGUGUAGCGGUGAAAUGCGCAGAUAGUCGGGAGGAACACCGGUGGCGAAGGCGGGUCUCUGGGGCAGUAACUGACGCUGAGGAGCGAAAGCGUGGGGAGCGAACAGG